CAGCUGAAAGCCAGGAUUAUUUAAGGAAUGGAGAACAAUAGGAAAGCAUGACAAGGAAAGAUCAGCCAUUUGACAAUGAAGCAACAUCCUGAGCCUGAAGCACAAUACUAUUGAGACACCUGACUUGACUGCAGUGACUGCGAUGACAAUUUCACCUGCCAGUCCCCUCCUUACAAAGUUGCACCUUGAGCGGUUCCUAAGCAGCCAUAAGGAGGAAAUGCCCCUGCUUCCCCUGGUGAGAAGGCUCAGACCUGGGCAAGAUACUUCAUGAGGAAUUUUGGCCCUUUCCUACCGGGAUCUGAAACGCCAUGAAAGUAAGAAAACACAGUUGUGACGGAUUUCCUAAAAUAAA